GGGAAUGUGGCUUAGUGGUAAAGUCCUUGUCUACUAUGCAUGAAGCCCUGGGUUCAAUUCUUCAAUUCCA
rnacentral:tRNA from 1 species